GUUGACCUCGAAUCAAGUAGGAUUACCCGCU
rnacentral:rRNA from 1 species